CUCAUCAAAAACAUGACUUUGCUCUCCGUCCUCAUCUGGACUCUCCUCUGCUUCACUCAGGGGUCUGUUGGACAAAAUGUUGUCUUGACUCAGCCAGCAGCCAAAGCAGUGCAGCUGGGUCAAAGUGUCUCUAUUGACUGUAAGGCCAGUCCAAAAGUUACUCAAUUCUCUGGUUCACAAUAUUUACUGGCCUGGUACCAACAGAAAACUGGAGAAGCUCCUAAACUUCUGAUCUACAGAACAUCAGACAGAUUUUCUGGAAUCUCCUCCAGAUUCAGUGGAAGUGGAGCAGGGAAUGGAGUUGACUUCACUCUGACCAUCAGUGGAGUCCAGGCUGAAGAUGCAGCAGUUUACUACUGUCAGAGUGCACAUUACAUCAACAGUCAGUGGUUGUUCACACAGUGAAAAAGCGUCGUACAAAAACCUCCCUCAGUCAGACUGAACAGAAAC